GUAGGUGAACCUGCGGAAGGAUCAUUAUUGAAAUAAAUCUGAUGGGUUGUUGCUGGUUCUCCAGGGAGCAUGUGCACGCCUUGUCAUCUUUAUAUCUCCACCUGUGCACCUUUUGUAGACCCCGGGAUAUUUUCCAUGGUCUAUGUUGCUUCAUUUACCCCAAUGUAUGUUAAUAGAAUGUUUGUGCCAAAUAAUAUAUAUACGACUUUCAGCAACGGAUCUCUUGGCUCUC
rnacentral:misc_RNA from 1 species